ensembl:lncRNA
CAAUGAAUAAACUAUUUAUUUUUUUCUGAAACGGUCUUCUGUCAAUGACAUGAAUAACAGUAAAUGUUAGUGAUGCAAAGGGAACGCUUCCCCUGAGUCCUUAAGUGUCUCGGUUGGACAUCUCUCCAUGGAUACGAGUCCACCACCUUAUGUCUACCUCCCACUCCAUCCGCAUUCGACUCUCUUCAGAGAAGCUGGACCAAGGAUGAAUGCACUCGGCGCUGCAUCACCAUCCCAUGUGCCCACACACCAACCCCCACCUAUCUCCACAACUACCCCACACCAACCCCCACCUACCCCCACAACUACCACACAUUAUCUCUCUCUUUCUUUGAACACUGCAGUGGCACAGAAGAUUGUUGAAUAUGAUGAUUUUUGUGUCUCUUGCCUGGACAUACACCAAGUCCACAUACAACCUGCCAUGUCUGUGUAUUGCUUCUGUUGGGCAGGGCUGGGGCCUGUGAGCGUUUAUCUGGUUUGGUACCACAGGCUCACCAGGUUAUCUCUAACUAAUAUAUGCAAUCAAGAAACGGGAGAGAUCUCCAUAGAGUAUUGUCCCAAUUCACAAAUGCAUGUUGCUGGAAUACGAAAUGAGUCCAAGCUAAAUCCUCAGGGCUCUCCGACCCUCAAUAGAUCAAUAUUCACAUGCAGGCAGGUGUCCACCCAAUAUGCUGGUUUAGGCUUUCAUCAGUGUGGCAAGCAUGCCAAUAUGCCCAGGAGCAAUUUCCUCUUUAACCUUAUUGAUGAAAUAAGACUGAGAAAUGAUACAGAUUUGCAGGGUGCGAUUUGCUGGGGAAGGAUUUCCCUCCUCUGGUGUAUAUCUCUUCCUCUGCUGAAUUAUUUUGAUUCCCCUCUUGUGCCUAAUGUUACUUCACCAAUAAACCAUAUAAAAUACCUAAAAUAAAGAUGUUUAAAAAAAAAAAAAGAAUAGUCUAUAGUGCACCAACAAUAAAAUCAGAAAUGGACUGUCAAUGUUAGCGCGCUCACUGGCCUGACAACAGCCCUGAUAGCAAAAGGCCAGUGGACCACUGUUGGGCAGAGCUGGCGGUCCUGUUACAGCAAAGAGCAUUUUUUAGUUAGUCAUCUAUACCACUUCAAUUAUUUUCACCAACCAUUAACAUUUUUAUACAUGAGACCAGUGCGUAACAUACAUCUUUAAUUGACCAAGUCAAUAUUCACCUUGAGAGCCUUCUUGUAGGCUAGGCGUACCACGAACAUCUUCUGUUUAAUGGCUGAUAUUUUAAAUAGACUAUGCCAAGGAUAUGACUUAGAAAUUCCAGGAAUUGACAAACAUUUUAUGUUAUUUUGUUAAUUUUCAC